UAAUCACACAGGCUUUACUAAACUGUGUGUUUCAGUCCUCCUCACUCACUAUAAAUGCAAUGCAUGCACACCUAUCGAGAGACACGCUAGUAUGCUACAUUAGCUUAAAAACGUCAGCAGGACAAAGCUUUGAACUAUAUCCACCCCAAGAAAGCUGAAGAACAUGGGAACAUUUUGGGUGUUAAAAAAUUACAAGGGAGUAAUUGAAGGCGUUGGCUUACCUAUUUUGCAAAUCCUGCCAAAAGAAAGUUGCAGCUAAAAGAUCUAAUACAUCCAAUAUUUUGCAGCUUUACACACCAAAGUAAAGGUAAUACAAAGUAGACUUUGCAGGUAGUUGCAAUUCCAAGACAUUAGAUGGCAGUACUGUGUAAACUACGGUGUGUCUCCGAGGGUCGCAGGGGUGCUGGUGCGUAUCCCAGCUACAAUCGGGCGGAAGGCGGCGUACACCCUGGACAAGUCGCCACCUCAUCGAAGGGCCAACACAGAUAGACGGACAACAUUCACAAUCACAUUCACACACUAGGGCCAAUUUAGUGUUGCCAAUCAACCUAUCCCCAGUUGCAUGUUUUUGGAAGUGGGAGGAAGCCGGAGUGACCGGAGGGAACCCACGCAUUCACGGGGAGGACAUGCAAACUCCACACGGAGAGAUCCUGACUACUCAGGACCUUCGUGUUGUGAGGCAGACGCACUAACCCCUCUGCCGCCUACCGUAUUUUUCGGACUAUAAGUCGCAAUUUUUUUCAUUGUUUAGCAGGGUUGCGACUUACACUCAGGAGCGACUUAAUAAUUUCACACAUAACACAUUACCGUAAAAUAUCAAAUAAUAUUAUUUAGCUCAUUAACAUAAGAGACUAGACGUAUAGGAUUUCAUGGGAUUUAGCUAUUAGGAGUGACAGAUUGUUUGGUAAACGUAUAGCAUGUUCUAUGUUAUAGUUAUUUGAAUGACUCUUACCAUAAUAUGUUACGUUAACAUAGCAGGCACCUUCUCAGUUGGUUAUUUAUGCGUCAUAUAACGUACACUUAUUUAGCCUGUUGUUCACUAUUCUUUAUUUAUUUUAAAUUGCCUUUCAAAUGUCUAUUCUUGGUGUUGGAUUUUAUCAAAUACAUUUCCCCCAAAAAUGUGACUUAUACUCCAGUGCGACUUAUAUAUGUUUUUUUCCUUCUUUUUUAUGCAUUUUCAGCAGUUGCGACUUAUACUCCGAAAAAUACGGUACAUGCAAAUUUACAUGUAAAUGUGUUAUACAUGUAUAGCGCUUUUCUGCCUUUUUUUAAGGACCCAAAGCCGUUUGACACUAUUUCCACAUUCACCCAUUCACACACACUCACACACUGAUGGCGGGAGCUGCCAUGCAAAGCGCUAACCAGGGCCCAUCAUGAGCAAGGGUUAAGUGUCUUGCUCAAAGACACAACAGACGUGACUAGGAUGGUAGAAGGUGGGGAUUGAACCCAACAUAGCCUUAUGUUGCACUGUAAAAAGUGUUUAUACUACAUCUGUCUUGAAUAAAAUACUUCUGUUAA